AGCGAACGCUGGCGGCAGGCCUAACACAUGCAAGUCGAACGGAACCUUCGGGAUUAGUGGCGGACGGGUGAGUAACACGUGGGAACGUGCCCUUUGGUUCGGAACAACUCAGGGAAACUUGAGCUAAUACCGGAUGUGCUCUUCGGGGGAAAGAUUUAUCGCCAUUGGAGCGGCCCGCGUCUGAUUAGCUAGUUGGUGAGGUAACGGCCCACCAAGGCGACGAUCAGUAGCUGGUCUGAGAGGAUGAUCAGCCACACUGGGACUGAGACACGGCCCAGACUCCUACGGGAGGCAGCAGUGGGGAAUCUUGCGCAAUGGGCGAAAGCCUGACGCAGCCAUGCCGCGUGAAUGAUGAAGGUCUUAGGAUUGUAAAAUUCUUUCAGCGGGGACGAUAAUGACGGUACCCGCAGAAGAAGCUCCGGCUAACUUCGUG
rnacentral:rRNA from 1 species